rnacentral:piRNA from 1 species
UGUUUUAAAACUAUGAACAAGGGAGAGAAA